UACGGAGGGAGCUAGCGUUGUUCGGAAUUACUGGGCGUAAAGCGCGCGUAGGCGGCUUUGUAAGUUAGAGGUGAAAGCCCGGAGCUCAACUCCGGAAUUGCCUUUAAGACUGCAUCGCUAGAAUCAUGGAGAGGUGAGUGGAAUUUCCGAGUGUAGAGGUGAAAUUCGUAGAUAUUCGGAAAGAACACCAGUGGCGGAAGGCGGCUCACUGGACUGGUAUUGACGCUGAGGUGCGAAAAGCGUGGGGAGCAAACAGGG
rnacentral:rRNA from 1 species